CGGCCUGAGGUCGGACGAGGCUACCCGCUGAAUUUAAGCAUAUUACUAAGCGGAGGAAAAGAAACUAACGAGGAUUCACCUCAGUAACGGCGAGUGAAGCGGGACGAGCCCAGCGCCG
rfam:Ciona savignyi cont_54893, whole genome shotgun sequence.